rnacentral:lncRNA from 1 species
CCCAGAGUUUCCAGCAUACCCUGCCCAGCGCUCCACGCAGUUAAGUAAACACAGCAUGACUGUUGGGGCAUGCGGCCAACGCCGAGGCCAGGGGGAGGGGAUGAGGCUGAGAGGAAAUAAGAGCAAAUUCCUCUGAAAUGAUCUGACAGGAAAUGACAAGAGUAUUGGCCUCAUACAAGCGCGCUGUGAGGGGCAGUGAGAGGGAGAGAGGGAGACCGUCUUCCGAAGCACAGAGCGGUGCCAGAUCUCGCUUUCACAAGUCCCUUCAGCCCUAAGAGCAAACCAAAACUCUGGAGUCAAAGAAGGGGAUACUGGGAAAUCCUACAGGCUUCCACUUCUAGCAUCAUGAUCUCCUUGGCAGUGUUGGAAGAGGCGGGGCUGAGGCACCUACACUGGUAAAGCUAGUAUGGGGGAGGAGUUUGGGGAAAGGAGGAGAAUUCAGGGGAUUGGGA